rnacentral:rRNA from 1 species
UAUGAGUAGAGCGGCGGACGGGUGAGUAACGCGUAGGAAUCUACCUAGUAGAAGGGGAUAGCCCGGGGAAACUCGGAUUAAUACCGUAUACCUCCUAAGGGAGAAAGAGGGCCUCUCUUGAUGCUCUCGCUACUAGAUGAGCCUGCGUAAGAUUAGCUUGUUGGUAAGGUAAUGGCUUACCAAGGCUACGAUCUUUAGCUGGUCUGAGAGGACGAUCAGCCACAUUGGGACUGAGACACGGCCCAGACUCCUACGGGAGGCAGCAGUGGGGAAUAUUGGACAAUGGGCGCAAGCCUGAUCCAGCCAUACCGCGUGUGUGAAGAAGGCCUUCGGGUUGUAAGCACUUUAAGCAGGGAGAAAAAGCAAUAAGUUAAUACCU